GAUGAAGAACGCAGCGAAAUGCGAUAAGUAAUGCGAAUUGCAGAAUUUCCGUGAGUCAUCGAAUCUUUGAACGCACAUUGCGCCCAUUGGCAUUCCGAUGGGCAUGCCUGUUCGAGCGUCAUUACAACCCUCAGGCCCCCGGGCCUGGCGUUGGGGAUCGGCGGAAGCCCCCUGCGGGCACAACGCCGUCCCCCAAAUACAGUGGCGGUCCCGCCGCAGCUUCCAUUGCGUAGUAGCUAACACCUCGCAACUGGAGAGCGGCGCGGCCACGCCGUAAAACACCCAACUUCUGAAUGUUGACCUCGAAUCAGGUAGGAAUACCCGCUGAACUUAAGCAUAUCAUAAGCGGAGGA
rnacentral:misc_RNA from 1 species